rnacentral:rRNA from 1 species
UACAGAGGUCCCAAGCGUUGUUCGGAUUCACUGGGCGUAAAGGGUGCGUAGGUGGUGGGGUAAGUCGGAUGUGAAAUCUCCGAGCUCAACUCGGAAACUGCAUUGGAAACUACCCUGCUAGAGGGUCGGAGGGGGACUGGAAUACCUGGUGUAGCAGUGAAAUGCGUAGAUAUCAAGUGGAACACCAGUGGCGAAGGCGAGUCCCCUGGACGACUCCUGACACUGAGGCACGAAAGCUAGGGGAGCAAACAGG